UUUUUGAGCAUUUAGACACAAUAGAAUUGUUACAAUAUAUUACACGGGUCUAAACAUCUUUAAGUAACUACUUUUAUAAGUUGUAUAUUUUUUUUGAGUUUGGUGUAAAAAAAUUCAUUAUAAAAGAAGAAAAAGAAAAAAAAAAUGGAAAAAGAGUAAGAGAGAGAAGAAGAAAAAAGUGAAGAAAAAAACAAAAUAGAUAGCAAAGAAGACAAAGAAGAAGAGAAUAAAGUAGAGAGACACAAGUGGUGAAUUGUGAGAGAUGAGUUGCAAGUAGUGAAACAAGUAAUAUGGAGAGAACAAGAGAAACACAAGCAAUGAUUUAUAAUACAAAUAGUGAGUUGCAAUAAGAGCCAUGUCUAGUCAAUUCUUGAUUAGUUUAGCAAAUAAAC
rnacentral:lncRNA from 1 species